AGUAACGUAGCGAAAGUUAACGCUAAUACCGCAUAUUCUGUGAGCAGGAAAGAAGGGGGAGUCGCAAGACCUCUUGCUUUAGGUAGCGGCCGAUGUCGGAUUAGCUAGUUGGUGAGGUAAAGGACUCACCAAGGCGACGAUCCGUAGCGGGUCGUGAGAGGAGUGAUCCGCCACACUGGGACUGAGACACGGCCCAGACUCCUACGGGAGGCAGCAGUGGGGAAUUUUGGACAAUGGGCGCAAGCCUGAUCCAGCCAUGCCGCGUGAGUGAAGAAGGCCUUCGGGUUGUAAAGCUCUUUCGGUGGGGAAGAAAUUGCUUCGGUUAAUACCUGGAGUAGAUGACGGUACCCGCAUAAGAAGCACCGGCUAACUACGUG
rnacentral:rRNA from 1 species